AAAUGGUCACAUAAAUUUAUUAUUCUUUGGUUGCAACAUGCUGGAAAUAGUUGGUUGAUUUAUUUUAAGUGGCAGAAAAACAAUUAUUUGCAGAAAUCAUUUGACAGUGAGGAGAAAUAUGCAGCAAAUUUAUUUACAUUAUUUAACAUGCUGAAAUUAUUAGAAUGACUAUGAACAUGAUUUCUAAGUAAAGAACAAUAUCCACAACCUAUAGGCAUGGUUUCUACACCCA
rnacentral:lncRNA from 1 species